rnacentral:rRNA from 1 species
UACGGGGGGGGGCAAGCGUUGUUCGGAAUUACUGGACGUAAAGGGCUCGUAGGCGCCAACUAAGUCAUACGUGAAAUCCCUCGGCUUAACCGGGGAACUGCGUCUGAUACUGGAUGGCUUGAGUUCGGGAGAGGGAUGCGGAAUUCCAGGUGUAGCGGUGAAAUGCGUAGAUAUCUGGAGGAACACCGGUGGCGAAGGCGGAUCUCUGGGCCAUUACUGACGCUGAGGAGCGAAAGCGUGGGGAGCGAACAGGA